UCAGAGCCAAGAUCCAAGGAGCAGGUAUGAGAAUACUGCGGGUACAGCCACAACAAGGCACUGACUCCUUCUAAGAUCCAAAAUCUGAAACUCACUGCAUGGCUCUGAAGCUGAUAAAAGGUUCCGAUCCAACAAUUCCAUGACCUUCUCCCAAGCCAGAGGAGUAAACGUGAAGACUUUCAGCUGCUUAUCCACUGUUUUUCUCGUAAGUGGUACAGCUGGGAUCACCACCCAGGAACUGAUUCUUAGAUGCCCAAAUCAAGUUGGUUCCAGUGCUCUCACCUGGACCUGAAAAGAACUAGCGAGUCAGAAAACUUCAUCAGAGUGAUUGAGCCCAGGCCAGAAUGGGCCAUGAAGAUGGCCGGCAUGAGCAGAGGAUGGAACCAGCAGUAACAAGUUUUGGAAAUAAAGGAAACGACAGAACUAAAUGCCAGGCUUUCAGCAAAAGUGGAAAAUUACAACUCAAUUAUGCAGGCAGUAGAGAAUCUGCCUACUUUGAAUCUGACUCAUUCUUUUAUUAUAAACCAACAUAUAUUGAGCUGUUCCAUGAACAAGAACUGCGUUGGAGAUUACUGCUUACACAAGAGUGACUAAGCUCAUCCCUGACCUGUAGGAGCUUACAGUCUAGUGGACUGACAGUUGAUGGGGAGACCUCUAUGAAUUCCUCUUCUCUUUCUGACUUUCCCUGAGACCAAAGACAAGGAGUCUGGGAAGGGCACAGUCAUUCCCAAGGUAAGAAAGCA